GAUGAACGCUGGCGGCGUGCCUAAUACAUGCAAGUCGAGCGAAUGGAUUAAGAGCUUGCUCUUAUGAAGUUAGCGGCGGACGGGUGAGUAACACGUGGGUAACCUGCCCAUAAGACUGGGAUAACUCCGGGAAACCGGGGCUAAUACCGGAUAACAUUUUGAACCGCAUGGUUCGAAAUUGAAAGGCGGCUUCGGCUGUCACUUAUGGAUGGACCCGCGUCGCAUUAGCUAGUUGGUGAGGUAACGGCUCACCAAGGCAACGAUGCGUAGCCGACCUGAGAGGGUGAUCGGCCACGCUGGGACUGAGACACGGCCCAGACUCCUACGGGAGGCAGCAGUAGGGAAUCUUCCGCAAUGGACGAAAGUCUGACGGGGCAACGCCGCGUGAUUGAUGAAGGCUUUCGGGUCGUAAAACUCUGUUGUUAGGGAAGAACAAGUGCUAGUUGAAUAAGCUGGCACCUUGACGGUACCUAACCAGAAAGCCACGGCUAACUACGUGCCAGCCGCCGCAGUAA
rnacentral:rRNA from 1 species